ACAACAACAAUAAUUUUCAAUCACAACACAAAAUAAAGCGAAGGGACAUUAAAGGGUAAAUUCAAAAAGGAAGGGACAUUAAGAUUUUGAAAUAUUUGUAUGGCUUUCUUCCGCGCGCUUUCUUAGAACGACAGUUACGUUACACAUACAUUCAUACAUUCCUUUCCGCACAAACAUUCUUUGUGUGUACCAAUCUACCCUAUAUUAUAUCGAUGGUUUUGAAUUGUUUUGAAAUAAAAAUUAUGAU